rnacentral:tRNA from 1 species
GCGAUAGCAGGCGGGGAACGGGAGCCUUUUAAGCUCUAAAUGGGGGUUCGAUUCCCUCUCGGGGCA